rnacentral:rRNA from 1 species
AUUGAACGCUGGCGGCAUGCCUUACACAUGCAAGUCGAACGGUAACAGGUCUUCGGAUGCUGACGAGUGGCGAACGGGUGAGUAAUACAUCGGAACGUGCCUAGUAGUGGGGGAUAACUACUCGAAAGAGUGGCUAAUACCGCAUGAGAUCUACGGAUGAAAGCAGGGGAUCGCAAGACCUUGUGCUACUAGAGCGGCCGAUGGCAGAUUAGGUAGUUGGUGGGAUAAAAGCUUACCAAGCCGACGAUCUGUAGCUGGUCUGAGAGGACGAUCAGCCACACUGGGACUGAGAAGCGGCCCAGACUCCUACGGGAGGCAGCAGUGGGGAAUUUUGGACAAUGGGCGCAAGCCUGAUCCAGCAAUGCCGCGUGCAGGAUGAAGGCCUUCGGGUUGUAAACUGCUUUCGUACGGAACGAAAAGCCCCGGGUUAAUACCCUGGGGUCAUGACGGUACCGUAAGAAUAAGCACCGGCUAACUACGUGCCAGCAGCCGCCGUAA